rnacentral:rRNA from 1 species
UACGUAGGGUGCGAGCGUUAAUCGGAAUUACUGGGCGUAAAGCGUGCGCAGGCGGCGCGUUAAGACAGGUGUGAAAGCCCCGAGCUUAACUUGGGAAUUGCGCUUGUGACUGGCGUGCUGGAGUGUGGCAGAGGGAGGUGGAAUUCCACGUGUAGCAGUGAAAUGCGUAGAGAUGUGGGGGAACACCGAUGGCGAAGGCAGCCUCCUGGGGCAGGACUGACGCUCAUGCACGAAAGCGUGGGGAGCAAACGGG